UGUUUUUGUAGUUGAUGUACAACGGUGGUUUUUCGGGCCGCAGGACUCUUAGAAGAGUGAAAACU
rnacentral:tRNA from 1 species